AAUUACAAAUUAAUAUGUUCUGUGUGUUUGAAUUGUACAAUACCUAUUGUGAGAUAACAGCUGUCCUGAGAGCUUUUAAAAUAUCAUUUGCCAGCAAGGCAAAAAGUUCUAUUAAACCCUUGUCCCAUUAAGCAGAUUCUAUUUACAUCCAAAUAAACAGCAACUUGCGAAUAUUAUUGUUGCAAUUUACGAAGUUCCAACUUUGUGAAAAUUGUGAACUUUUGUCGUCUAUUUCAGGCUUCCAGCCUUCCAAGUUUACUCAUAUAAGAUGACUUUCGGUUUAUAGAGUCUGGCUGAUGGAAAACUAUUAAGUUUCAUCGAAAAAAUGAAGAAAAUAUGCACAAAAUCGAUGAAAUUAUUUCCAAAUACGCUCCCAAAUAGGCGGCCAUCUUGAAUCCAGCGACUGAAAGUAAUGACGUAAUGUUUGACAAAAAAAUGACGUAGGUCAUUUUGUGACCAACAAUCCGCGAUGAAGCCGAAACCUAUAGUAGCUGGAGGCACAGAGUGCCCCAGCGACUAAUAAGUGAUGAAAUAUUUCAAUUGUCCCAUGUCAUUUUCAUUAUUCAGUUCUUUUCAAGGAAAUACAAAAUGUGAAUCAAGUUUUUUCGCAGAUACGUGUACGCUUUGCGUACCUAUAUUUUUU